UGGGGAAUUUUGGACAAUGGGCGAAAGCCUGAUCCAGCAAUGCCGCGUGUGUGAAGAAGGCCUUCGGGUUGUAAAGCACUUUUGUCCGGAAAGAAAUCCUUGGCUCUAAUACAGUCGGGGGAUGACGGUACCGGAAGAAUAAGCACCGGCUAACUACGUGCCAGCAGCCGCGGUAAUACGUAGGGUGCAAGCGUUAAUCGGAAUUACUGGGCGUAAAGCGUGCGCAGGCGGUUUGCUAAGACCGAUGUGAAGUCCCCGGGCUCAACCUGGGAACUGCAUUGGUGACUGGCAGGCUAGAGUAUGGCAGAGGGGGGUAGAAUUCCACGUGUAGCAGUGAAAUGCGUAGAGAUGUGGAGGAAUACCGAUGGCGAAGGCAGCCCCCUGGGCCAAUACUGACGCUCAUGCACGAAAGCGUGGGGAGCAAACAGGAUUAGAUACCCUGGUAGUCCACGCCCUAAACGAUGUCAACUAGUUGUUGGGGAUUCAUUUCCUUAGUAACGUAGCUAACGCGUGAAGUUGACCGCCUGGGGAGUACGGUCGCAAGAUUAAAACUCAAAUGAAUUGACGGGGUCAUAGCUGUUUCC
rnacentral:rRNA from 1 species